AUAAUGUAUGGGCUUUGCUCAUGGUUAAAGGAUGUAUGUUGACCUAUAGUUGUUAACUUUGAUGUCAUUUGAUCUCUGAUGGAGAGUUGUCUUUUCUCAUUAGUGUAAACAAUUUUUUUUUUUAAAUAAUUAGGUAAUUUAAACAUUACAAUAUAAGACACUUUUAUUAGUAUUAGGAUUGGAAAACAAGUGAAUUUUCACUUUUACAAAUUCCUCUCUUUUCUUAUUGGCAAUCAUACUACAUUUUCUUAUUUUUAUAUUUACAUUACCUUUCAUCUUCUUGAGCGGUCCACUUCCUCAGUACAACAAGGGGGUCCUAAAAGCAUGAUUUUGAGUUGGCUAAAAAACCUAUAAGAUAUAUUAUGAUACAAUUAACAGGUUUCUUUGCAAUUAUCUGGCAAAUCACUAAAAAAAUUAAGCAUAUAAGAGUAGUUAAAUAAAUGUAUUCUCCAAUAAAUCUUAGGUCCGAGACCACAAUCAUUUCGUAGUGCAUUUCUUUUAGAACAUAAAUGAAAAUAAAAAAAAUCCCACCUGCGCUUUCUCAAAGAAACUUUUCCAGUGUGUUGUACUACUUUUGGGACAAAUUAUAUCAAAAUUAUAGAAAACUUCAUCGGCUCUAACUCAAAAUAUGGACAAUUUUAUGUUUAGAGCGUCUUGAAAUCUUUUGACAGCUUCCGAACUUGAAGUGCUAAUUUUCAACCUUUUUCACCUGGACCAAAUCACUACUUUCCUUUAAAAUUCUGGACCCAAAUUUUUUUACAGUGUAAUUUCACCCCCCUACUUGCAAUUUGAGGCAUUAAACAUGGAGAAAUAAAUUUGGAAGGGGUAUAAAAAUUAAUGGCAAGUAACCCACUGUCAACAC
rnacentral:lncRNA from 1 species